GACGAACGCUGGCGGCGUGCUUAACACAUGCAAGUCGAACGGAAAGGCCCUGCUUUUGUGGGGUGCUCGAGUGGCGAACGGGUGAGUAACACGUGAGUAACCUGCCCUUGUCUUUGGGAUAACUUCAGGAAACUGGGGCUAAUACCGGAUAGGAGCUCCUGCUGCAUGGUGUGGGUUGGAAAGUUUCGGCGGUUGUGGAUGGACUCGCGGCUUAUCAGCUUGUUGGUGUGGUAGUGGCUUACCAAGGCUUUGACGGGUAGCCGGCCUGAGAGGGGGACCGGCCACAUGGGGACUGAGAUACGGCCCAGAAGCCUACGGGAGGCAGUAGUGGGGAAUAUGGCACAAUGGGCGGAAGCCUGUGGCAGCAACGCUGCGUGCGGGAUGACGGCCUUCGGGUUGUAAACCGCUUUCGCAUGUGACGAAGCGUGAGUGACGGUAAUGGGUAAGGAAGCAACGGCUAACUACGUG
rnacentral:rRNA from 1 species